AUUGAACGCUGGCGGCAGGCUUAACACAUGCAAGUCGAGCGGAGAUGAGGUGCUUGCACCUUAUCUUAGCGGCGGACGGGUGAGUAAUGCUUAGGAAUCUGCCUAUUAGUGGGGGACAACAUUCCGAAAGGAAUGCUAAUACCGCAUACGUCCUACGGGAGAAAGCAGGGGAUCUUCGGACCUUGCGCUAAUAGAUGAGCAUAAGUCGGAUUAGCUAGAUGGUGGGGUAAAGGCCUACCAAGGCGACGAUCUGUAGCGGGUCGGAGAGGAUGAUCCGCCACACUGGGACUGAGACACGGCCCAGACGCCUACGGGAGGCAGCAGUGGGGAAUAUUGGACAAUGGGGGGAACCCUGAUCCAGCCAUGCCGCGUGUGUGAAGAAGGCCUUAUGGUUGUAAAGCACUUUAAGCGAGGAGGAGGCUACUGAGACUAAUACUCUUGGAUAGUGGACGUUACUCGCAGAAUAAGCACCGGCUAACUCUGUGCCAGCCGCCGCGGUAA
rnacentral:rRNA from 1 species